GCAGAAUUCAGGGCUGAGCAUCUCAGUGAUGCCACCGGGAACCCAGGCUUCUCUGUCCCUUCACCAGACUAACCGAGUUCGAGACCACACGGGGGUCAGGUAGCCAAGGCUGGGCUUGGGAGGAAUGAAGGAGGUGAGGGUGGCGCGCCGCGGGCCUGGGCCACUCCCUGAGUAGGGCGGCGGUGGCGGCGGCGGCGGCUGCAGGCCCGGUCGAUUGUGAGGAGACAGCCGUGCCUCCUGGGCCGCGCACCCGACCAUUCCCGGGGUCCCGGCUCGCGCCGCGCGAGGCGCGCUGGAGCGGAAGUGGCGGCGACCCCGCCGGAAGCGCGCGGCUGCGGCAGGGGAAGCAACCGAGAGCGCUCCUCCCGACUGCGCUGUGCGGGAGACAGCUUGCGGAGCCCACUGCCGGCGCGCCGAGAGCCCAGCAGCUCUUGAGUCCGGGAAGCAAGGGUGGGCGGAGGGAGGAGCCGGUGGCAAGGACCCAGACCUGGACGACCCCCAGUGCCGAGCCCGCGGAGCUGCUUGCAGGCAAGAAGAACCUGUUGGGUGAUUACAACAUGGCUGGAUUGAUAGCAGCCUCAUCUGCCAGGCUCAAAAUCCAGGAUCCAAAGUCCACAAAUAUCAUAAAUCUGAAGAGGACCUGGGAGAAGCUUCUGCUGGCAGCUCAUGCCGUUGUUGCCAUUGAAAACCCUGCUGAUGUGUCAUAUCCUGCAGGAAUACUGGCUAGUGGGCUGUGCUGAAGUUUGCUGCUGCCAUUGGAGCCACAUGUAUUGCUGCUCACUUCACUUCUGGAACCUUUGCUAACCAGAUCCAGUCAUCUUCUGCUACCCACAUCUUCUGGGUGGUUACUGAUUCUAGGGCUAACUAUCAGCCUCUCUCAGAGGCUUCUUAUGGUAACCUACCUACCACUGCUCUACAUAACAGAUUCUCUCUGAGCCAUGCGGACAUUGUCAUCCCAUGCAACAACAAGGAAACUCAAUCACUGAGUCUAAUGUAGUGGAUGCUGGCCCAGGAAGCUCUGUGCAUGUGUUGCACCAUCUCCCAUGAUCAUGCCUGAUCUCUACUUCUAUAGAGAUUCUGAAGAGAUUGAAAAGGAAGAGUAGGCUGCAGCUGAAAAAGGAGGAAUUUCAAAGUGAAUGGACUGCUCCAGUGGAAGUUUACUGCUACUCAGUCUGAGGUUGCAGACUGGUUUAAAGGCAUGCAGAUGCCCUCUGUGCCUAUUCAGCAGUUCCCUACUGAAGACUGGAGCACUCAGCCUACCAUGAGUGACUGGUCCGCAACUCCCACUGCUCAGACCACUGAAUGGGUAAGAAUAACCACUGAGUGGCCUGAAGCUGUUCUUCCACAAGCUCUUAAACAAGAUGGAAAUAAGGCUGAUGGAAAUAAACAACAGUUUCCAAGAAAAAAAGGAACAGUUGAAGUGGCAAUGUUUAAAUAAUAUCUAGUAGACUUUAACAUGAAUGUCAUUAAGCAGGAAAUUAUGAUCUUUUAAGUUGGAACAUGUAAUGUUAAUCCUUUUGCAUCAAAAUAUCUCUUUAAGUCUAAAUUAUCCACUUUUUUUUUUUUUUUAAUUCUUCGUAGAGAUAGAGGUUUCACUUUGUUGCCCAGGCUGUUCUUGACUUCCUAACUUCAGGCAAUUCUCCUGCCUUGGCCUCCCAGAGUGCUGGGAUUACAGGCAUGUGCCACCGUGCCUGGUGUACCCAGUUUCUGUUAUCAACAGAACACAGUGGUGUAUGGUUGCUAAAGAAGAGUCCCAAGAUUAGGACCUACAUUAAGGUAGAUUUUGAAAUGUUUAAAAUUCUGAGGUUGUUUUAUUUUAUUUUAUUUUAUUUAUUUAUUUUUUGAGACGGAGUCUCGCUCUGUCGCCCAGGCUGGAGUGCAGUGGCCGGA